UCAUUAGCCACACCCAAGUAAAAAACUUGAUUGAUGUGGAAACCCGGAAGUGACGUGACUUUAGGGAAUUUCCUAGAGUAAAAUGGCCACCGUGCAGUGCGAAACUAGAAAGAUAAAUCCCACAGUUGAGAUGGAACAGGCCGAAUAUACAAAGAAUUUUGGACACGAAGCCUUAUUAUUUCCGGCCUGCUAGGUGUCCUAGAGACCGGCAACAGGCGAGGAAGAGGAAUAUUAACGGAGAUCCGCAUAAGUUUGAGGUUGGGCUUGGGAAUGCAGCCGUUGUGAGCGUGGAUGGCGUGGAUGCGGGCCAUCUCCUCGGCGAUCAGCCUGCCGUGGCAACAGAGGGCUUACAUCACCACCGCACAGCACCGCAAUAACACCAUCCCCUGAGGUGGUAUGGUGAUUACUUUUAAUCUUUUUUGGGUUUUUUUUUUUUUGAGAUUCUGACUGUAAACCAGACAUGGUCAAAUACGUAUUUGUUUUGGAUUCAAAGACUUUUCUACACUUUAGUAAGUUUGUCUGUAUGUAUUGGAACCGAUGACAUUCUCUCAAAAAGUGAAAACCCCACAUUUUGGUCAUAUUGGCAGGCUCAGUUGCACCAGGCAAGAUCAACAGGGCACAGAAAAGUAUUUGAAUCCAAAACAAAUACGUAUUUGACCCAGGUCUGCUGGAAACACAGUAAUAUCUGUUAAUACCCAUAAGGUCACCACCCUGGGAUUUUACAUCAGUACAGGAAGGUAGUACUAAUGAAUUGGCAAAGGACUCGUCCACAAAUUCUGGCCAUGAAAUGAGUCUCCACUUGUUCCAAAUGUAGCCAUUAUCAAUGACGAGUGUAAUACAGAAAAGCAUUCAUUCAGGAUUAACUACCUUCACUUAUUUGUUCACUUGAGGUUGUUUUUAAUAUAUUACCCCUCACAUGAUGACGUAGGCCACUCCUUUGCAGUAGUAAACAUUACUGGAAAUGGGAAAUUACUGGAAGUUCCUGGCAGUUGACGGAACCUGCACAAGCAGGUUAUGUGAAAACUUCCUGUGUCGAAUGUCACACGCGGCUCUGUCCAUAGUGGUGAUGGAAGACACGCGACGUUAUGCAAUUAUGCAAAAACUGUUCAUUAUUGCCUCUGGCUAGUAUGUACCAUAAACCCCUCUGCGGGCAGGACGGGACACAGAGCGUGUUGUAAAAGUUUAACCGUAAAAGGCCCUAGAUCGAUAGCGGGUGCACGCUGUUACACAGAGAUCCUAAACGAUCGGUAAAGUGGGCAGGGGAACAUAAGCCUGGGCUCAAAACUGUGACCUUUCUGCCACCAAAAAUUUGAACGGUGCUUCUAGGCCAUGGCAUCUUUUCAUUUCUGAGGAGACCUUGGUACCUCAGAUCUUGGGGGUCCUCAUUGUCUGAACUUAAACCACGGCUUCAGCAGAGAAUCGCCCCACCCAUGACUUGAAGGUCUCCUCUCUACCUUGUAGUAGCGAUGCCCAAUACCACUGAUUUCCUUUUCUAUGUGAUACCAAUUAAUACCAGGGCUAGUAUCACAAUACCGAUACUGAUGGCCAUACCCAUACCAAUAGUUUUAAAAGUAUUCUUGUGUACAUACUGUAAAUGUGGGAAGUCUUUUGAGUUUUGCAGUGAAAAUUGCUAAAUGCGGACAUCAAACAUGUAUAUUUGAAAGCCUUUACAUUAGUAUUGAAUAAACUGCCAAAGAUUAUUUUUCUCUUCUUGUUUUCUGUUUAAUAGCAAUUAUAAACGCAUAUUCAAUUGUUCAACAACGUUCAAUAAAUGUUCAAUAAUAUAA